rnacentral:tRNA from 1 species
GCCGAAGUGGUGGAAUUGGUAGACACGCAUGCUUGAGGGGCAUGUGAGGGAAACCUUGUGCCGGUUCGAGUCCGGCCUUCGGCA